rnacentral:rRNA from 1 species
GUAACACGUAUGUAACCUACCUUUAUCAGGGGAUAGCCUCUCGAAAGAGAGAUUAAGCCCGCAUAAUAUGAAGACACAGCAUUGUGAUUUCAUCAAAUAUUUAUAGGAUAGAGAUGGGCAUGCGGAACAUUAGCUAGUUGGUAAGGUAAUGGCUUACCAAGGCUACGAUGUUUAGGGGAUCUGAGAGGAUGACCCCCCAAACUGGUACUGAGACACGGACCAGACUCCUACGGGAGGCAGCAGUAAGGAAUAUUGGUCAAUGGGCGCAAGCCUGAACCAGCAUGCCGGUGCAGGAAGACGGGCCUACGGGUUGUAAACUGUUUUUGCAGGGGAAUAAACCCCCAUUCGUGAAUGGGGUUGAAUGUACUCUGAGAAUAAGGAUCGGCUAACUCCGUGCCAGCAGCCGCGGUAAUACGGAGGAUCCGAGCGUUAUCCGGAUUUAUUGGGUUUAAAGGGUGCGUAGCGGCCUUGUAAGUCAGGGGUGAAAGACGGUAGCUUAACUAUCGCAGUGCCUUUGAUACUGCAGGGCUUGAAUGUACUUGAGG